rnacentral:rRNA from 1 species
UACAGAGGUCUCAAGCGUUGUUCGGAUUCAUUGGGCGUAAAGGGUGUGUAGGUGGCUCUGUAAGUCGGGUGUGAAAUUUCGGAGCUUAACUCCGAAACUGCAUUCGAUACUGCGGUGCUUGAGGACUGGAGAGGAGACUGGAAUUCAUGGUGUAGCAGUGAAAUGCGUAGAGAUCAUGAGGAAGACCAGUGGCGAAGGCGGGUCUCUGGACAGUUACUGACACUGAGGCACGAAGGCGAGGGGAGCAAACAGG